rnacentral:rRNA from 1 species
GAUGAACGCUGGCGGCAUGCUUAACACAUGCCAGUCGGACGGGAAGUGGUGUUUCCCGUGGCGGACGGGUGAGUAACGCGUAAGAACCUGCCCUUGGGAGGGGAACAACAACUGGAAACGGUUGCUAAUACCCCGUAGGCUGAGGAGCAAAAGGAGGAAUCCGCCCGAGGAGGGGCUUGCGUCUGAUUAGCUAGUUGGUGAGGUAAUAGCUUACCAAGGCGAUGAUCAGUAGCUGGUCCGAGAGGAUGAUCAGCCACACUGGGACUGAGACACGGCCCAGAGUCCUACGGGAGGCAGCAGUGGGGAAUUUUCCGCAAUGGGCGAAAGCGUGACGGAGCAAUGCCGCGUGGAGGUAGAAGGCCCACGGGUCGUGAACUUCUUUGCUCGGAGAAGAGACAAUGACGGUAUCUGAGGAAUAAGCAUCGGCUAACUCUGUG